rnacentral:rRNA from 1 species
UUGCCUACGGGGGGCAGCAGUGGGGAAUAUUGCACAAUGGGGGAAACCCUGAUGCAGCGACGCCGCGUGAGUGAAGAAGUAAUUCGUUACGUAAAGCUCUAUCAGCAGGGAAGAAACACUGACCUUACGGUCAGCAGACGGUACCUGAGUAAGAAGCCCCGGCUAACUACGUGCCAGCAGCCGCGGUAAUACGUAGGGGGCAAGCGUUAUCCGGAUUUACUGGGUGUAAAGGGAGCGUAGACGGCAGGGCAAGUCUGGAGUGAAAGCCCGGGGCCCAACCCCGGGACUGCUUUGGAAACUGCCAU